AUUGAACGCUGGCGGCAUGCUUUACACAUGCAAGUCGAACGGUAACAGGCCGCAAGGUGCUGACGAGUGGCGAACGGGUGAGUAAUGCAUCGGAACGUGCCCAGUCGUGGGGGAUAACGCAGCGAAAGCUGUGCUAAUACCGCAUACGAUCUGUGGAUGAAAGCGGGGGACCUUCGGGCCUCGCGCGAUUGGAGCGGCCGAUGUCAGAUUAGGUAGUUGGUGGGGUAAAGGCUCACCAAGCCGACGAUCUGUAGCUGGUCUGAGAGGACGACCAGCCACAGUGGGACUGAGACACGGCCCAGACUCCUACGGGAGGCAGCAGUGGGGAAUUUUGGGCAAUGGGCGCAAGCCUGAUCCAGCAAUGCCGCGUGCAGGAAGAAGGCCUUCGGGUUGUAAACUGCUUUUGUACGGAGCGAAAAGGCUCCCUCUAAUACAGGGGGCUCAUGACGGUACCGUAAGAAUAAGCACCGGCUAACUACGUGCCAGCCGCCGCCGUAAUAC
rnacentral:rRNA from 1 species